GAAGCAGCCACCCUUUAAAGAAAGCGUAAUAGCUCACUAGUCGAGUCGGCCUGCGCGGAAGAUGUAACGGGGCUAAAACUAUGUGCCGAAGCUGCGGAUUUGACAUUAGUCAAGUGGUAGGGGAGCGUUCUGUAAGCCGAUGAAGGUGUAUUGAGAAGUAUGCUGGAGGUAUCAGAAGUGCGAAUGCUGACGUGAGUAACGACAAAACGGGUGAAAAACCCGUUCGCCGAAAGACCAAGGGUUCCAGUCCAACGUUAANNNNNNNNNUCGGGGCUGGGUGAGUCGACCCCUAAGGCGAGGCCGAAAGGCGUAGUCGAUGGGAAAAUGGUUAAUAUUCCAUUACUUCUGUGUAAUGCGAUGAGAGGACGGAGAAGGCUAAAUCAGCCUGGCGUUGGUUGUCCAGGUGAAAGGAUGUAGGCAUGUAUCUUAGGCAAAUCCGGGGUACUCUAUGCUGAGAUCUGAUAGCAAGCUGUACUUGUACAGCGAAGUGGUUGAUGCCAUGCUUCCAGGAAAAGUCUCUAAGCUUCAGUUACACAGGAAUCGUACCCGAAACCGACACAGGUGGUCAGGUCGAGUAGACCAAGGCGCUUGAGAGAACUCUGCUGAAGGAACUAGGCAAAAUGGUACCGUAACUUCGGGAGAAGGUACGCUGUUGUUGGUGAUGGAACUCGCUUCCUGAGCUGACGACAGCCGCAGAAACCAGGCCGCUGCAACUGUUUAUUAAAAACAUAGCACUCUGCAAACACGAAAGUGGACGUAUAGGGUGUGAUGCCUGCCCGGUGCUGGAAGGUUAAUUGAUGGGGUUAGCGUAAGCGAAGCUCUUGAUCGAAGCCCCAGUAAACGGCGGCCGUAACUAUAACGGUCCUAAGGUAGCGAAAUUCCUUGUCGGGUAAGUUCCGACCUGCACGAAUGGCAUAAUGAUGGCGGCGCUGUCUCCAGCAGAGGCUCAGUGAAAUCGAAAUCGCUGUGAAGAUGCAGUGUACCCGCGGCUAGACGGAAAGACCCCGUGAACCUUUACUGCAGCUUGACACUGAACUUUGACCUUACUUGUGUAGGAUAGGUGGGAGGCUUUGAAGCUGGAACGCUAGUUCCAGUGGAGCCGUCCUUGAAAUACCACCCUGGUAAUGUUGAGGUUCUAACUCUGUCCCGUGAUCCGGGACGAGGACCGUGUCUGGUGGGUAGUUUGACUGGGGCGGUCUCCUCCUAAAGAGUAACGGAGGAGUACGAAGGUGCGCUCAGCGUGGUCGGAAAUCACGCGUAGAGUAUAAAGGCAAAAGCGCGCUUAACUGCGAGACCCACAAGUCGAGCAGGUACGAAAGUAGGUCUUAGUGAUCCGGUGGUUCUGUAUGGAAGGGCCAUCGCUCAACGGAUAAAAGGUACUCUGGGGAUAACAGGCUGAUACCGCCCAAGAGUUCAUAUCGACGGCGGUGUUUGGCACCUCGAUGUCGGCUCAUCUCAUCCUGGGGCUGAAGCAGGUCCCAAGGGUAUGGCUGUUCGCCAUUUAAAGAGGUACGCGAGCUGGGUUUAGAACGUCGUGAGACAGUUCGGUCCCUAUCUACCGUGGGCGCUGGAAAUUUGAGAGGAUCUGCUCCUAGUACGAGAGGACCAGAGUGGACGAACCUCUGGUGUACCGGUUGUGACGCCAGUCGCAUCGCCGGGUAGCUAUGUUCGGAAGGGAUAACCGCUGAAAGCAUCUAAGCGGGAAGCCUACCUCAAGAUAAGAUUUCCCUAGGACUUUAUGUCCUCUAAAGAGCCGUUCGAGACUAGGACGUUGAUAGGUUGGAUGUGGAAGCAUAGUGAUAUGUGAAGCUGACCAAUACUAAUUGCUCGUGAGGCUUGACUAUACAACACCCAAGCAGUUG
rnacentral:rRNA from 1 species